UUUUAUUUUUUAUUAAUGUCGAGAUUCUUCUGAUCCGUUAGGCUCUCUUUGUUAUCCCCUGUCUUCCACUUUGUAACAUACAGCUUCUCCACCAUAAAGAAAGAUAAAUAUCUUAUUCAAUUCAGAAACAACACUCAGACACUGCUCUUUUGUACUUCCCAAACUUUCUAUAUAUUUUCCCAAAAACAAAACAAAGGGAUGGCACGAAUAAUCUCAAUCUUUUAAGAACUACUGAAGAAGUACAUAGAAGCCAAAAAAGAAUUCAAAGGAAACAGAGAAGCCAACGAAAACUCCAAAGAUUUUCCGAUUGACACUGACGCCCAAGCUCCGACGUAGCCAAACCUCCCCAGCGACGACUAUCUGUUCCGCCCACAGAUGGGCCAAUCAUCUUAGACUUCAGUUUAACCACCGAGCCUGUACCGCCACUUUGUUUUCUUCGCCACCAUCUGUUCCCAUUGACAUCAGUUUUUAUCAUGGUUUUGCUCAGUCCUUAACCAACAUAUAUUCUCAGUUGUUUAUCACUAUGUAAUCUGAUUGUCCGAAAUCUAAGAGGACCAGAAUAGCAUUUGAAGCUAGGGUCUCUAAACCACCCCAAUUUGGUUAAAGAAGCUCUGAAGCUUUUGGCUAGAGCUUUGACUCGCUUCGAGAUAGUUUUCCGAAUUUGACUCUACCUCUCUUGGUUUGGUUUUGAUUCUUUUUGGCAGGAGGAAGGAUUGAGUCCCCUUGCACCAGAUUUACGUGCUAAAAUGGAUGAGACCUUUGAAGCUUAUGUCUUGGAGCUUCUUAGUUUUCUGUUCGGUUAUGAUCCCGCAAACUUAUGUAUCUCACCCUUGCAGAGCUCAACCAAUGCUGUUGAUAUCUGAUCCUCAGAUAAUUGAGUUUAUAUGUAAGGCAAAAGUAACUGGUAUCCAUGCAUAUAAAGGUUGGUGUUACAUUGGUUGCUCUAGCGAGAGAUUUCUUCUUUCACAUUCAUCGUAUGUGAUAAAUCUGUCCUAAGGUCUCAUGUGGAGCUAUGUGUAUCAGACGAGCUGGAUGAGGCUGUCUUUGUCGCUUUUGAUAUGGAGAUGGAAAAGUUGGCAAACAUUCAAGCUGCUGAAGCUGCACAAAUUUUGGGUGUAGGUGUGAAUGCUCAUGUGGACAACGAACUACCCCACUUUGUAGCCUGAUAUUAUAGGCAAAACCUACACUUUUCCAGCUCAAGCUAUGGGAGUUUAAUUUCACUUCCAAACACCAAACCUUCACCGUUUCCCGUAUAAUUUCUUAGGAACAGCGUGCACCACUCCCAGAAUUUGUCAUACAAGUUCUUAUAAGGAUUUGCCUGUAGAGAAACCAGUAGCACCAUAGCGCUCAACUGGUGAGCAAAACACUGUUGUAGAGAUAUCACGUUGUGCGACAGCAAAAGUCCGAGAGACUACAAGUGACGACCCUCAACUAUCCUCAUCUGCUGUACCAGCAAGCGUUCGUCAUGCAGAAGUACAAGUCGAAGCUUGAUCCAAAUGAGAGUGGAAAAAGAAGGCACACAAGACAUAGCUCCACGUGACAAGGAAAGUCCACCUCUGUUUGCUUCAAAUAAUCUUAUAGGGUCACUUUGAAUUUUACAUUAUUAAACUAAAUGUAGUGGUGGAUCUUUGAGUUAUUAUUGCAAAUUUAUUUCCUCAAAUGGCUUUCUCUUUGUUUUAAGACGUAGAGUCUAAUAAUGUAAAAUAACGGUGGAUCAAAAUAUUAUUUUAGAUAUAAACCAGCUAUAUUAUUCCUUAUAAACAAACUAUAUUAUUAAGUUUCCUUCAAGAAUCUAACUCUUGCGAUCAAGUACAUAGAGGUAUACUAUCAAGCUUAUACUAAUAACUGCCAGCAUCGUCACUCUGAGACAAUGGAAUGCUGUAGGAAAUACAAAUAAGAUAGGGUUUAAUAUGAAUGUUUAAUAUUUAAAAACACUAUCGAUCAAAUCAUUUCAUGAGCAUAUCAUAUUUAAAGCUCAAACAGCUACGUAUGAAAUGUUACGCUAAUGUACCAAAAAAUAAAACUACAUAAGAGCCUAACAUUGUCAAUACUACUUUAUAAAAAUACCGGAUUUAAAUUCUCCACACACAUAUAUUUUUUUUUAUUUUUAAAUAAUAUUUAGAAUGUAAAAUAAGUUAUAAAGGAAUAUAUUUUAUAUUAAUUUUAGUUUUUUUUAAUAAAUUUGUACUUUUUAACGACAAUAAAGUUGUACUUUUCAUAUAUUAACCAUUUGUGUUGUUUCUUUGUUCAAUAAAUAAUGUAACAGCAUAUUAAAAAGUUUGAUUCUAAACAUUAAUUUUUAUAUGAAUUAUUACUAACUUUAUCACAACUUUUGUUUGAAAAUUUAUAUUUUCGAAAUGUUGAUAUGUGACUAAAUUAAAUUAGUAAAUUCUAUAUUUUGUUAACACGUAUUUCAGUUUCGUUUAAAUUUCUAUAUUCUAUAUUUUGUUAACUAAUUGUUUUAUUUAUUAUAUUACCUUUUUUAUUAUUAUUACCAUAAGAAUUGAACAUAAAAUCAUGCAAAAAAUUAUUUUUUUCAUAUAUAAAAAGUUUAAUAUAAUAUUUUUUUAACAGAUUUGGGCUAUGUUAUUUCAUUCCAAAACUAAAUACCCAAAAACAAAAAUAGAAUCUGUUAGGGUUUGGAUAGACAUUUUUUCUCAAUCUUUUAUUUAGAUAUUAAUAUUAUUUACAUUUUUUCUAAAAUUAAUAUAUGAAUAAAUUUAGGUUAAUUUGUUAAAUUACUAACUAAAUGGUCCAACUAUAACUCUCUAUAGUCAUUUUUAGAGUUAUUCUAUUUGAAUAGAGUAGAUUAAUCAGCUCGCUGAACAAGUUUAACACAUUAUCGAGUAGCUUUGGUGAACACAAACACAAUGCGUGUGAGUGCCCUAAACAUGUAAGGUUAUUGACAUCUGAUGAAAGAAAUAUUUAAAUUUUAAUCAAGUUUUUUUACUAAACCUUCGUAUGAUUUAGGCUCUGCGUUAACACUAGCACAUUUACAUUCAUUAAAACAGCUGCAUGUUCUAAAAGCGUAACAAAUACAAACUUAAGUGAUUUGAUUCUUUUGGAUGUUUGCUUUGCAGGAGAAAUUCACCAUCAAGAUGCUAAUAUGAAUGAAAUGGACUCAGCACCAGGAGAAACCGCCACGUCUCGAGAAGAUUAUGAAACAUAACCAACCAUGGCUGCUCACCACAUCACUAGCCAAAGCCGUAUCACACUAGACGAUCCUAAUCAAGGUAGCAUUAAAAAAGGUAUUACCGCCACUUCAGCCUUUGUCAUUAAUCUGAACAUACAACCACAAGUUCAUCUUACAAUAUUUACAUGUGAAAGAAGUGGACGCUAAGAAUACUAGAGCUUUGCAGAUGAAAAAAAGUAACCAAGAAAGAAAUCCCAAAAAUAAAGGUCUGUCUCUCAAUUUAAACUCAAUAUAUCACUCUUACAAACAUAUUGCACAACAUAUAACACAAUAAAAGCAAUAACUUGAUCAUAAAGUUACCUCAUGGCAUUUACAAAAUCUUACUCUCGAGUUAAAUUUGUUUGAUAUUUAAGCCAAUAAUAAAGCUAAUAAGGCUUCAUAAGGAAUCUGCUUGCUUUAUCAAAUGAAAGCCCAACACGACCUUUUUCACACACAUGCAAUGGUCUUCCAAACAAAUAAUUAGACCAAAUAACUGCUAAACUUCACACACAAUUAAUGUCUUUGCACCUACCCCACCAAUAACUCACUAUUCCCUACAUGUUUAAAGCAUUAGAUAAGUACUACUAAACUAAACAAAAAGCCUCACCACCAUUUUUUAACCAGAAAUUGAACACG